GUAUUUAGAUUUUUGCUCAAUUUAAAUAAUAUCAUGAUCUAUCUCGUUGGCCAGGAAUUGGCACUUUUCAAAAUGUCUUAACAUUCAGAUUUCUUUAAAAGUCUAUGUACUUCCGGGACCUGGCCGCUAAAAAAUUUGCGUUAACGUUCCAGCGUUCAUACAACUUAUUUUUAUCUAUCCCAACGUAUCCACUCAAUCUAUACUUCGUAAUGUAUUUGACUGCAACGUCAACCGAACAAGGAUCCCGCCGAGGCUGGUGACUCACUGUACUCCCGCGGUCGCUGACUGUAGACUGCCAGGUGUCAAAGCAGCAAAGAAAAAGUGGUAAGUGAGAAACAUGCAUUUUAUGUUUAGGAUAACGUUACUUUUUUAGACAGUACAUUAGCAGUUAGCUUACAUAGACAAAGUUCUGUCGGGAGUCUGGCUUAAAUUUUAACGAUGGGGGGAGGUGUGAUGCGCGCCGGUCAGAGCCCAUCAAGUUGGUGUGCCGAAUGAUUGAGACCGAUAUGAUGCUAACCAGUGUGGUUGAGGGCAAAGGAUUGAAAUACCUAGUUCAGUUCUUUGAGCUUGAGUACGUUAUGCCUUCGAAGGCUACUUUGAUUAUACGCUUUGAAAAACACUUUGAGAAGAAGGAUGAGCUAAAAGUCAAGAUAACCAAGGCAGAGAAGCUACCUCUGACCACUGACUUCUGGACAGCUUUCUGUGUUCAACAUGGCCACUGGCUUCCGAAGGUUGAAGUACGAAGACUUGAGUAAAAUGAUAGGGGCAAUGCACAAAGAAGGGCAAUACAGAGAGUCAAACAAUUGAUUGAAAAUGAGCAGGAAAGGGGAGCGAUGGUGGAUGCCAAGUGUUUUUGUUGAUGAUUCAGAGGAUUCUGAGAUGCAAGUGAGGAGGAGGAAAGUGAUCAGGGUCUUAAUGUUGAGGACAAGGAACUAGAUGAAGAGACUGUAUUUCUCUAAUGGCUCUGUCAGCGCUUCUCAGCAUCCUUAAAAUCUACCAUCCCUCUCUGCCAAAAGAUGGACGAACGUUACCGAAGACAAAAACAAGAUACAACAUUAACAAUGUAGCUGGUGGCGUGUUUCAAUAUUGUGGAAUUCUGAAUUAUAUUGGGAAAAUCUUAAAUAAAGUGUGGUUUACUGUGCCAGACAGACAUGC
ensembl:lncRNA